UCUAACACCAGUUACCAGAGAAAAUAGCCUUACUUUCAGAUGUUGAAUUUAACUUCGCAAAUAAUGCUUCAUAACUAGAAAGCAGAGAGAGGCAUGCUGAAAAUAAAAUGGAUCAAUACUGUGCAGAGCAGAAGAAGAAGAACAGCCGUACAGAGAUACAGAGUUAAAAUAACUUUACAAUGAUGUUCAAAUAUCUUUGAAGAUGAUGUUACAGGAAAGGACAGAAUGAAUCAUUCAGGUUUCGGAAUAGAAAGGAGAAGAGGAAAUCCUACAGCAGAACUGCAGCGUCCCACAGUGCAAUAUAUUUUAUUUUCUAGCCCUCAAGAUGGCUGCAAAAUAGUGAGCAGUUUGUCUUCAAAGAUAAUUCAAAUCCCAGAUGACAAGGAGAAGAAUGUGAAACAACACAUUGGCUACAAAACACGGCAGUCUUACUGAGUCAUCAUCACCUGUGACUGACUACUGUAGCCCCCCUAAGAUACCUUCU